GGUCACACCCAUGGCAUAUGGAGGUUCCCAGGCUAGUGGUCGAAAUGGAGCUGCAGCUGCCAGCCUAUACCACAGCCACAGCAAUGCCAGAUCCAAGCCACGUCUGUGACCUACACCACAGCCCAUGGCAAUGCUGGAUCCUUAACCCACUGAGCGAGGCCAGGAAUCAAACCUGUUUUGGGUUUUUUUUUUUUCUUAAGGCAGCCUCACUUCAUCUUUCUUUUCCAUUAAUCUCUUUGGUGUAAAUUGAGCUAAUAUGUCAAUUUCCAUCCCUGUCCAAAAGCUUCAUCAAUCUUUGAGACUUCACAUUUUUAUCUGUUUUUAUCUCCUAUUAGCAUGCCUAAGAGUGGAUUUUGAGUAAUGGGUUGCAAUGUCUCUUACUUUAUUUUGUUAGAUAGCCAAGCUGUUUCACAAUGGCCCAAAGAGCAGUUAACUCUGUUCCACAGAAACAAGCCUCUUGCCCAAAUUUGCCAUCUGGUGGGUGUUUGAAGCCUCUGUCUUGCAGAGAUUUUUUUCAUUAGCUGACAGUCAUUACUCAUCUGCUUUUGGCUUUAGUAUUUCUGAUAUUCUCAUUAUUGCUCAUCCUAAAGAGUCCCCAUUUCAGAUAAGAGAACACUUGGCGUUGUUUGCUUAACAGAAGGGAUUCAAUUUCCUCAUCUGGAAAACAAGGGCAUCAAUGAGAAUAUUCCUGCUAGUUGGAACCAUCUUUGAUUUUAUAAACUUGGGUUUUAAUGACUUAUGUAUGUGCUUGACAGCCCACUGAGACUGUGGCCUAUGAAGAGGAAGGCCACAGGCCAUGAUAGGUACUUUAUAGGUAGUUGGUUUUUUUUCCCCUUAGUAUACAUUUCUUUUCUUUUCUUUCUAAAAGGGUUUUUAAAAUUUUUAAGAAAUCAUGGUUGAUUAUAAUCAGUACUCUUGAUGGGGAAUGAGUAAGUGAAUGAAGCUGAGCUAACAUCAGGAUGAGAGAGCCAUUGCCCCACAAAGGAAAUACCAGUGAUAUAUAUUUAUCAUAUAUAUAUGAUAUGAGCCAUAUAUAUAUUUAUCAUAUAUAUAUGAUAUGGCAUAUGGAGGUUCCCAGGAUAGGGGUCUAAUUGGAACUACAGUUGCUGGCCUAUGCCACAGCCACAGCAAUGCCAGAUCUGAGCCGCACCUGUGACCUACACCACAGUUCACGGCAAUCCCAGAUCCUUAACCCACUGAGCGAGGCAAGGGAUUGAACCAGCAACCUUAUGGUUUCUAGUUGGAUUCGUUUCCACUGUGCCAUGAUGGGAACUCCACCAGUGAUAUUUUUAAAUUUUCCCACAUUUAUUUUCCAAAAUAUCUGUAGAGAUUUCUUAAAAACAAACCUCAACCAUGACCUACAAGUCGCCUUGCUGUCUCCUCCACCCAAUUUUUUACCACUCAUUCUUCCAGUCCUUACAAUGUAUCCUCACUGGCCUUCCCAGUGUUUGAAAACAUCCCAAGCACCUAAUUUAAAUUAAAUAUGUAUAUAUAUCAGGGUCCCUGUACUGGCUGUUCCCUCUGUUUGGAAUGAUCGUCUAAGAAUAUGCAAGUGGUGGAAGUUCCUACUGUGGCUCAGUGGGUUGCGAACCCAACUCUAUCCAUGAGGAUGUGGGUUCAAUCCCUGUCCUCUCUCAGUGGGUUAAGGAUCCAGGCUUGCCGUGAGCUGUGGUGUAGGUUGCAGACGUGUCUUGGAUCAUGCAUUGCUGUGGCUGUGGUGUAGGCUGGCAGUUGCAGCUCUGAUUUGAUGCCUGGGAACUUCCAUAUGCUGCAGGUGUGGCCCUAAAAAGCAAAAGGCGAAAAAAAAAAAAAAACCCAAAAAAAGAAUAUGCAAGUGGUUUACUCCCUCCCUUCAUGCAAACCUGUGCUCAAACAUCAUCUCUCAGAGAGACCAUUGCAUCCCACCUUUUAUCUUACCCAUCUACUUUGCUUCAUUUUUCAUUUAGCACUCAUAAAUAUAUAUGCAGUGUGUUAUCUGUCAAUUUAUCAUUCCUAGCCCCUGGAAUAGUACUUUUCACACAGGAUUUGCUCAAGCAGUAAUUGUUGAGUGAAUACAUGAAUAAGAAUAAGAAAAUAUCUAUUAAGUACUUGAUUUGUGAAUUAAAGUUCUCUCCAGCUUAGUGUUUCACUGUUAAAGAACACACCUGUCUAUACCCAACUUGUAGUUUUUUGCCUCUGUGCCUCUGCUCCUAUCAUUAUGUACCCCUUCUAUCCCCUCCCUUAUAACUCUGCAUACUUAUCAGAUUCCAAAUCCUAUCCAUUAUUGUCUGAGAUGUGCCUUUGCUUUGGAACCUUCACAGACCAUGCCCAGUGUCUCUCCAUCUGAACUGGUGGGGUCCAUGGCUUUCUGUCAUCAUGCCCUCCCCUCUGAUUCAUUAUCUGUCUCUCUCUGUCCUAAUUCCCCAACCAUAGGCUCUCUGAGUAGAGAUUAUAUUUAUGUAUUUCUACUUUUUACUUUACAUUUUAUAUACAUUUUAAAUGGAAUUGACCCCAUUGUUUCAGAUAGAAUAAAAAUUUUACUAUUAAAAAUUUUGAAUCUUCAAAGGAAUAAAGAUGAAAGCAAAAGUUACCCUCAAUUCUAUCAUACAUAAUAACCACUGUCAACAUUUAGACACACCAACCCAACACACACACACAUAACCGCAUAUUCUCAUAAAAAUUUUGGUACUGUAUAUGUUAUCUAGUAACUUGUGUUUUUUUAAAAAAAAUCUUAAGAUUAUAUCAAGGAUAAUUCUGUAAAUAUGUCUGCACUAAUACUUUUAAUUGCUGUAGUUUACUCAUUUUUAACUGAUACCUUACUCGACUGACUUUGCAAUUAUUUGCAUGUUUUAGCUAUUGCACAUUUUUGAUGUACAUUUUUGGGGUAAGUGGGGUAAGAGAUUUGAAGAGAGGGUAGAUUUAAAAUCAUAGUGGAGAGGUGGGACAUAAGUUGACUGGAGAAAUACUCUUCAUGUUUUUGUUUUUGUUUUUGUUUUUUUACUAAUGCACAUCCUAAAAGAAUUUUGAAAAAAAUCUACAUACCUUUGCAUUUUAAAAAGUUGAUCUGCACAGUUUUUAUUAAAUUUAAAAUGUAUAAAGCUUAUAAUUUCUGGCAAAUUAUAAAUAUAUACAUGCUAAAAUUUAGCUGUGCCAUUACUUUUAAAAACAUACCUAAUGGAGUCAAAACAGUGAUUUGAUAUCUACCUUAAUCUAUUUUUAAAAAAUUAUGAACUAGCUCAUUAUUAAUGGUCUGAAAUGCUAUCUAUUCCCUUUUUCUUCUAGAAUUACUAACUGUAUUCUUUCAUUACAGUUUAUGCCAAUACAAUAUAGUUUUACACUUGAAAGUCUUUUAUUGAUCAACCAUUGCAAUAAAAUUUUGUGCAUGAAUUUAAAUAUUUAAAAUUUCCUGGGACAAUACAAAAAUUUUAAAUGUAUAUUACAAAUUUUGAAAAGUACUUUGUGGAGUUUCCAUUGUGGCCUAGCUGGUUAAGAACCUGACAUAUUGUCUGUGAGGAUGCGGGUUCAAUCCCUGGCCUCUAUCAGUGGGUUAAGGAUUGGGCGUUGCUGCAAGCUGUAGCAUUGGUCUCAGAUGUAGCUCACAUCCAGUGUUGCUGUGGCUGUGGUGUAGGCUGGCACCUGCAGCUCUGAUUUGACCCCUAUCCUGGGGACUUCCAUAUGCUGCAAGUGUAGCCUUAAAAAUUAAACAGUAAUUUGUUAAAUGUGAAAUUAAAAAGGCUCUUUUUUCUUCCAACUAGAUAAUUUAUCUGUGGAUGAAUGUCACUUGUUGGUAGAAUUAAAUAGGAGGAACAUCAGUUUUUUGUUUACUUUUCAUUUUUAUAGAUAUAAGUGCUAAGAAACAUUUUCACAUACGUCAAGUGUAUAGGAAUGGGCAAAGUUUUUUAUAGCAGUAUCCCUCAACUUGAACUCCUUUUGAGUUUUUUUUAAUAAAAAUUAUAUAUUAAUCUAUUACCAAAACUAUUUCUAAUGACCUGUCAGUGGAUGAGCAAUUAGGUACCCUGUCAUUUUUUAAAAUUUUACUAAAAUGUAAUUGAUUUACAAUGUUUGUGUUAAUUUUUGCUGUAUAGCAAAGCGAUUCAGUUAUACAUACACAUAUCAUUUCCUAUUUAGGUGAUCACAGGAUAUUGAAUAGAUUUCCCUGUGCUAUAUAGCACGUCCACAUUGAUCAUCCAUACCAUAUAUAGUAGUGUGCAUAUGCCAGUCCCAAGCUCCCAAUCUAUCCCUCCCCUGCACCUUUCUCCUCUGCUAACCAUAAAUUUGUUUUAGAAGACUGUUUGGCUUAUGUUUUAUAAAUUCAUUUAUAUGAUUUUUAAGAUUCUACAUAUAUGUGAUAUCAUAUGGCAUUUGUCCUUCUCUGUCUUUCUUCAGUUAGUAUAAUAAUCUGUAGUUGCAUCCAUGUUGCUGCAAAUGACAUUGUUUUAUUCUUUUUUUAUGGCUAAGUAGUAUUUCAUUCCAUAUAUGUACCACAUCUUUGUCCAUUCAUCUCUCAGUGGAGAUUUAGUUUGUUUCCAUGUCUUGGCUUUUGUGAAUAGUGCUGCUGUGAACAUAGGGUUAGGUUACAUGUACCUUUUUGAAUUAUUGCUUUGUAUUGAUAGUGGUGGGAUAGCUGGAUCAUAUGGUAUUUCUAUUUUUAUUUUUUUGAGGAAGCUACAUACUAUUUUCCAUAGUGGUCAUAUCAAUUUGCAUUCCUACUAGUAGUGUAGGAGGGUUCCCUUUCUCAUACCCUCUCCAGCAUUUAUCAUUAGUAUACUUUUUGAUGGUGGCCCUUCUGUUGGUGUGAGGUGAUACCUCAUUGUAGUUUUGACUUGCAUUUUUCUAAUAAUUAG
rnacentral:lncRNA from 1 species